rnacentral:rRNA from 1 species
UACGUAGGGGGCUAGCGUUGUCCGGAAUCAUUGGGCGUAAAGCGCGUGUAGGCGGUCCGGUAAGUCCGCUGUGAAAGUCGGGGGCUCAACCCUCGAAAGCCGGUGGAAACUGUCGGGCUAGAGUGCGGAAGAGGCGAGUGGAAUUCCUGGCGUAGCGGUGAAAUGCGCAGAUAUCAGGAGGAACACCAAUUGCGAAGGCAGCUCGCUGGGACGUUACUGACGCUGAGACGCGAAAGCGUGGGGAGCGAACAGG